rnacentral:rRNA from 1 species
CAGCAGCCGCGGUAAUACGAAGGUCCCGAGCGUUGUUCGGAAUCACUGGGCGUAAAGGGAGCGUAGGCGGCGUGGUAAGUCAGAUGUGAAAUCCCGGGGCUCAACCCCGGAACUGCAUCCGAUACUGCCAUGCUAGAGGAUUGGAGAGGUAGCUGGAAUUCUUGGUGUAGCAGUGAAAUGCGUGGAGAUCAAGAGGAACACUCGUGGCGAAAGCGAGCUACUGGACAAUAACUGACGCUGAGGCUCGAAGGCCAGGGUAGCGAAAGGGAUUAGAUACCCGUGUAGUCCCUGUCUCUUAUAC